rnacentral:rRNA from 1 species
UGGGGAAUAUUGGACAAUGGGCGAAAGCCUGAUCCAGCCAUGCCGCGUGUGUGAAGAAGGCCUUUUGGUUGUAAAGCACUUUAAGCGAGGAGGAGGCUACUUAGAUUAAUACUCUAGGAUAGUGGACGUUACUCGCAGAAUAAGCGCCGGCUAACUCUGUGCCAGCAGCCGCGGUAAUACAGAGGGUGCGAGCGUUAAUCGGAUUUACUGGGCGUAAAGCGUGCGUAGGCGGCUUUUUAAGUCGGAUGUGAAAUCCCUGAGCUUAACUUAGGAAUUGCAUUCGAUACUGGGAAGCUAGAGUAUGGGAGAGGAUGGUAGAAUUCCAGGUGUAGCGGUGAAAUGCGUAGAGAUCUGGAGGAAUACCGAUGGCGAAGGCAGCCAUCUGGCCUAAUACUGACGCUGAGGUACGAAAGCAUGGGGAGCAAACAGG